GAGGGUAUAGCUCAGUGAUAGAGCACAUGCUUACCAUGCAUGAGGUCCUGGGUUAAAUCACUGAUACCCCCA
rnacentral:tRNA from 1 species